GGUCCCGCGUAUAUCGAUAGGGGCUCACUCCGGCUAGCUAUCGGAAAAGAAGGUCGUGAGUUACGAUAACCCAUCCCCAAUACGCGCAACAAUAAACAUCAGGAAUGAUGUCGUCGCCGCCGCUUCAUGUGAACCGGACCUCCUCUUCCGGAUUAUCGAGGUCGAACGGGCCCUCCCUUUCCUUCGUGGCAUGUCGAUGAGGUAUCCACUGUCAAAACCACACCAAGGGUCGUGGACAACAUGGAUCUUAGGAAUAAUGAAAUUUACAAAAAAAGGAAUGUGCACGUGGGCAACAAACAGGAGAAAAAUAAAUA
rnacentral:sRNA from 1 species